AUACGUAGGGGGCGAGCGUUGUCCGGAAUGAUUGGGCGUAAAGGGCGCGUAGGCGGCUUUGCAAGUCAGAAGUGAAAUUCCUGAGCUCAACUCGGGCGCUGCUUCUGAAACUGCAGGACUUGAGUGCUGGAGGGGAUAGCGGAAUUCCUAGUGGAGCGGUAAAAUGCGCAGAUAUUAGGAAGAACACCGGUGGCGAAGGCGGCUAGCUGGACAGUAACUGACGCUGAGGCGCGAAAGCGUGGGGAGCAAACAGGAUUAGAUGCCCUGGUAGGCCACGCCGUAAACGAUGAAUACUAGGUGUAGGGGGUAUCGACUCCCUCUGUGCCGCAGUUAACACAAUAAGUAUUCCGCCUGGGGAGUACGGCCGCAAGGUUGAAACUCAAAUGAAUUGACGGGG
rnacentral:rRNA from 1 species